rnacentral:rRNA from 1 species
AUGAACGCUAGCUACAGGCUUAACACAUGCAAGUCGAGGGGCAGCAUUUUAGUUUGCUUGCAAACUGAAGAUGGCGACCGGCGCACGGGUGAGUAACACGUAUCCAACCUGCCGAUAACUCCGGGAUAGCCUUUCGAAAGAAAGAUUAAUACCGGAUGGCAUACGAAUAUCGCAUGAUAUUUUUAUUAAAGAAUUUCGGUUAUCGAUGGGGAUGCGUUCCAUUAGUUUGUUGGCGGGGUAACGGCCCACCAAGACUACGAUGGAUAGGGGUUCUGAGAGGAAGGUCCCCCACAUUGGAACUGAGACACGGUCCAAACUCCUACGGGAGGCAGCAGUGAGGAAUAUUGGUCAAUGGGCGCGAGCCUGAACCAGCCAAGUAGCGUGAAGGAUGAAGGCUCUAUGGGUCGUAAACUUCUUUUAUAUGGGAAUAAAGUUUUCCACGUGUGGAAUUUUGUAUGUACCAUAUGAAUAAGGAUCGGCUAACUCCGUGCCAGCAGCCGCGGUAAUACGGAGGAUCCGAGCGUUAUCCGGAUUUAUUGGGUUUAAAGGGAGCGUAGGUGGAUUGUUAAGUCAGUUGUGAAAGUUUGCGGCUCAACCGUAAAAUUGCAGUUGAAACUGGCAGUCUUGAGUACAGUAGAGGUGGGCGGAAUUCGUGGUGUAGCGGUGAAAUGCUUAGAUAUCACGAAGAACUCCGAUUGCGAAGGCAGCUCACUAGACUGUCACUGACACUGAUGCUCGAAAGUGUGGGUAUCAAACAGGAUUAGAUACCCUGGUAGUCCACACAGUAAACGAUGAAUACUCGCUGUUUGCGAUAUACAGUAAGCGGCCAAGCGAAAGCAUUAAGUAUUCCACCUGGGGAGUACGCCGGCAACGGUGAAACUCAAAGGAAUUGACGGGGGCCCGCACAAGCGGUGGAGUAUGUGGUUUAAUUCGACGCAACGCGAAGAACCUUACCAGGUCUUGACAUUGAUCGCGAUCUGCAGAAAUGCGGAGUUCUUCUUCGGAAGACGAGAAAACAGGUGGUGCACGGCUGUCGUCAGCUCGUGUCGUGAGAUGUUGGGUUAAGUCCCGCAACGAGCGCAACCCUUAUUGCCAGUUACUACGUAAGAGGACUCUGGCGAGACUGCCGUUGACAAAACGGAGGAAGGUGGGGAUGACGUCAAAUCAGCACGGCCCUUACGUCCGGGGCUACACACGUGUUACAAUGGGGGGUACAGAAGGCGGCUACCUGGUGACAGGAUGCUAAUCCCAAAAACCUCUCUCAGUUCGGAUCGAAGUCUGCAACCCGACUUCGUGAAGCUGGAUUCGCUAGUAAUCGCGCAUCAGCCAUGGCGCGGUGAAUACGUUCCCGGGCCUUGUACACACCGCCCGUCAAGCCAUGAAAGCCGGGGGUACCUGAAGUGCGUAACCGCAAGGAGCGCCCUAGGGUAAAACUGGUGACUGGGGCU